GUCGAAAUUGGGAUUUAUUUAAAUAAACAGUACAAGCAAAUAUGAGCACGCGAUCCACUUUACAGUUAUAGAAUCACCGAGACAGAGAAAAUACAUCAAUAAUUCUCCUCUACUAUUUUUUUUCCUUUCUUUUUCUUCUCUUUUUCUUUCCAUUAAAUUUGUCCCCCAACUUUUCCCCACCACGCAAUUAUGCAACUAAAUCAAGCUAAUUCAAUAACUCUCCCACUUAACUCACAUCUCCCUCUAUUUGCACAACUCCAGCCAAGAAACAAAACAUUCCCUAUCAUUUUCACCGUGAGUCCUCUUCAAAGAGCAGGAAGUCUCCAUUUCGUCCAGCCAAAUUCUUAAGGUAAGCUUUGCUAUAAUCUUCCAUUUUCUUCCAUUAUCCGCCUGCAAUCAGCCUGCAAUCACUGAGACAACAACACAAAUUUAUUUCAGUUCCAGUUCAUUCACCACACCACAACCGAAAAGUGAGAGAAAUCACUCAUUCACUCCCUGCCAGAAUCAAUAAGUUCAGUCAUUCCAAUUCAUUCAACUCCAACAGCCAUCAAUCAGUUCGAUCAUAUUCAAGGUAUUAUACUAUCUCGAAUUUCAAUCCAAUCAAGCAUUCAUGUCAACAUGUUCAAGCUAUGGCAUUACAACUAUGUCGAUUCAUUCACUGUUAUUUUACGCUUUAGAACGACAAACCAUGAGUAUUCUGCCCUUAACAACUAGUUAUUGAAGUAGAAGAAGAAUGAAAAUAGAGAACUUAGCUUUAGGUUGAGUGGUAGUGGACUGUCGGAGCUCUGCGACUCACGACGACUGCGUCUCCGGAAGAGGCGGGCUGCUGGAGAUAGACCAGUGACCUCGAUUCUGGGCGGCGGCGUUAUCUCAGCAGAGGCGACGUCCGGCGAAAAAGCUUCCAGGCGUGUCGGCGGACGGCGGCGGUUGCACCAGAUCUUCACUGAUCUUCCAGUAGCAGCGGUGUCGGGGCUCGGGAAAUCGACGGCGGCGGUGGCCAGGUGCUCCUGCUGCCCGUCGAUUCAGAGAGAGCAGUGGGUGGACGGCGGCUGGACGCGGGGCUGGUCGGCGGAGGAAGAGAUGUCGGGCCUGUUUCAGCGAGAGAGAAGAGAGAACCAAGGAGCAGUGGUUGUCGUCGCUCGCUCCGGCGAGUUCCGACGGCGGUGACUUCGGGGAAGAGAGAGAGACGAACAGUCUUGAGAGAGGAAGAACGAAGAAGGCAGAGAUGGACGUGAGGGAAGAGGUUCGACCCCCGUUCGCCGGAUUUCGAAGGUGGAGGUGGCAGAUUCAAGUGAGGGAGAAAUUAGGGCUUCUUCUUCGUUCCUUCAAUAGAUUCGAUGGAGAGAUGAACGUUUGAAGCCGAGAGGAGAUGGGCGAAGGGAGUGUCCGAGUCAGGCAGAGCAACGACCGGCGAUCAUUUGCCGUCCUUCCAUGGACAGCGGCGACAGCGGCGAUUUUAAAUUGGGAAGGGAGAGUGACAGCUCUGUUUUGGAGAGGAUAAGAAGGACGUUGAGGGAUUGACGUUGACGAGGAGAAGCAGCGAAGCGUCGACCUCGCCGGGCUCCGGAGCUGUGGCGGCAGGCGUCUCAGCUGAGGCCGAUUGGAGGCGGAGCGAGAGGAAGAAAUAGAGAGAGAGAGGUCUCGAUUGUUUUGAGAAGAGAGAGAGCUCGACUGGGA
rnacentral:lncRNA from 1 species